GGUCCGCUGCUGAAGCCUGAUUGUUUGGUUGUAGUUGGUGGUGGCUUCACUGAAGAUACACCAGCAAGACUAGCACAAAUAGCACUCUUAAAAAAAAAGUCAGCUACUCAGGAAGCUAUCAAAUGGAUCCCAAGAAUUUAGACAUUCUGACCCAGCUCAUUCAGAUUCACUUAUCUCACAAUAAAAAGCCUAGCUGGAAUACACCAGCUGUACAGAAGAAGAUAAAUAGUUCAGAUGUCUAUUUGGAACCACUAUGGGCCUUGGCAAAGCUAGAGAGUGCUACAACCCUGGCUCCCAAAUCAAGAGUCAAGUGCUCCUGUGAAAGAGUUCAUGCAGAAAGCCAACUAGGAAAGAGACAAAGAAUACUGAAAGAAAAAAGAAAAAAAAAAAAAAAAAAAAGAUGUAACUAGACAGGUCAGGGUGCAGCCAUUUGGCAGUGCUGGUCAUCUCAGGACACUGCAGUCAUACCAGACAACCCAAAUCAAAGCAAAGACCAACAAGGAGCCGACAGAGGACAAGAGGUUUCCCAGUUUGUAGGGUGAUCUACCUUCAUACGGGCUUACCAGUUCACAAUGUUUUUGAACUUAGUUACCUCAGCUUGCGUAGCUCCAUGUGAUAAAUCUGUUCAAAUGCAGCUGCCAUGCUCAGAGGACCAGCCAUACAUGUCUGUAAGUCUAAUCUCUUGUGACCCCAUAUCUGUGGGAGACAAGGAGGAGAAGGAAGAAGACUGGAAAGCUAUUUUUGCCAUACUGUGUUUUGGGACAUUACAGACCCCACUUGAUAUGAUGUAACGUACAGCAGCUCCUGGGUUUCCCCUGAACCUCCAAAGCAGAAAAUCAGAGGACAGGCCUCAAGCAGUGCCCUGUGGGACUGGAAAGCUGUUAGGUGACUACAUGCUGGCAUUCCCCUUGUGGGGACACUGAGGGUUGCUCCUGUCCCCUUCAAGGCCCCCUGCAGCUCCCAGAGGGGUGUAAAAUGCUCGUGUGCCAUGCAGCCUCUUGCUUUUUGUCUGUGAGAGAGGACAGGCCACGCGCUGCAGGGCUGCAGCAGCUCUAGCCACCAGUUUUGUUCCUCGCCCCCUCUCACCUGUUGUGUGUGAUGCAGGCUUGGUGCCAAGCUCUUGAGCAGCUGCCCUUUUCCAGCUCCCGGGCAUGCCGGCCCGAGGAGGCCCAGCCCCGUUUGUUUGCAGCGGCAGCCCAUGAAUAGUAACUACUUAAGGCCAUUUUGCAUACGUCUGUCAUCUUAUAAUUAGCACUCGGUCCCGCAGCCCGAGAGAGUCCCUCCCCACAGCAUGCCUGUCCCCUUCCUCCACCGCAUGUCACAGCACAGUCCGCAGCCACCUUCAGAGAUGUUUCUAGAUCACACAUUACCCAAAUUUUCUGCUGGUCACCAUCAGCUGCACAGUCUCAUUUCCCAAGUCACCAAGCUGGAUAAAUCAUGGCUUCGCUUUGCUCUACAUUGUGUUCUUCUCUCUUGCUGCUGCAUCACAAAUAAUUGUCUGCCCUCCUCCUGCACUGCAGUGAGACACCUCUGCCCACCUGAGGUGCUUUCUUUGGGUCUCCUGUAAAGCAGGAGACCCAAAGGAAGCUGGGAUCUCGUCAUUAGAUGGCUGUGCCCAAACCUACUGGAGAAAACCAGAGAGCUCCUCAUGCACCAGAUCCUAAGGGCGGUGAGAUAACCCCCUAACAAAGUCCAUUCGCAUGUUGUUCUUUCCUUGGUGCUGGGGCACAGCUUUCCCCAGCCCUGUCCUUCCUCCUGCAGUUAAUCUGAACACGGAUAUCUUUGCACAUUUUGUUCUUGGCAGUUUCGAAAGUUGCCUUAGGCUCUUAUCACCUUAAAAAAUCAGAUCAUAUAGUGGUGGCCUUAGAGACGGCCUGACUGAUACCUGAGCAGCCAAAUAAAUGGUAAAUUUGAAUAAAAUACGGCACCCCAUUACCUAUUAGUUCUGCUGAUUCUGAGAGGAUAAUUUGCCAACAUUAAGCAAAGUGCAUGUCCUGAGCAUCCAUGGGACUGCGGAUGUGUAAAAGGGUUUGCAGAAGUGCUGUGCAACCCUCAUGAAGUGCCUUUUGCCCAUUCCAGAUCCUGCAUGCGCCAGCCUCUGCAGUUACGGGGAUUUGGUACCACUGGCACUGCCAACCCAACUUCUCUGUGUAUUUGUACAGUAAUAGAGACGUUUGCGGGAAGAGGAGAAGAGUUUCCUGGUGAUCCUUAAACAAACAGUGAUGAAGCCAGGAGCUCCUGCAGCUGGCUUCCACAGGCACCACCAGCUCCUGUAGCAAGAGUGAGAACACGCUCAGAGGAAGAUCGUGUUUCUGGGUAGCCAUUUAGUCUGUAAUCAUGAUACCACUGCUCAGGUUUUUCAGAUCAUUCAUUCUAGUUGCUUUCUCCAAACUUACUUUCUGUGGCCUUAGGAAUUAACACUGCGGGAGAGUGUGUGGCCCCAUUCUCUUCUCUGAUUUGGACACUGCCAUGAUCCUGCUGGAGUAUCUGAUGCUGGCUUCAUUUUGGGUGACCCCAUUGCCUGGGCAGAGGGCAGGGAGGGCUGCGUUAACUGCUGCUGUUCCACCUGCCCUGAACCAACUUGUGAGGGGUUUUAGUCGGCAGACUGGAUGAGAUGGGUCCUAACCUGAAGGUAAAGCCGGACACAGCAUCCAUGAGGUAGGCUAAAGAGCGGGCUUUGUGUUUGGGUGACCACACCGUGCACCUGCACGAUUCCCAACAUGGUGAUUUUGUAGGGUAGGGGGCCGAGGCAAAAACAGCACCCAGGGCAUCAGAAGGAGAGCGGGUUUGGUUCCCAAGUGUCCAGGCAGGCCUGGUGGCCCAGCGGCUGAGACACAGCUUUGUUGGCUACAGCAGCAAUGGCGCUGGGUGUUAAAAGUGAGCGCUUGUUCCUCCUGUGGUGCUCAUCUAUUUAUUGGCCUGAUUGUAAUCACAGCCUUCUUAACUUGUAACUGAUACAUCCUCCCUUACACGGCAGAUGAUGUUCACUUGGGUAUCAGAUACUGCUGCCUGUGUUUGCUCUUGUUAUCGCCCACCAUCAGCAGGUCUCUUUAAAGACCAGCUCUGACCAGACACCACGGAGAAGAGACGCCAUUUGUCCUCAGCCGUUUGAUCAGCCAUUUUUCACCGCACAAAUGCCGUUGAGGGCCGAUUCCCCAAACCCAGGAUGGAAAUCCCUGGGGCAUACCUGGCUGGCUCCCUCUGAUCACACGUAAUGUACCACAGAGAAUUCAGCAAACAUUGCCCCUGGGUGCACUGACUCCUGUGUGACGCUCCUCUUCCUAACCCUGCGAGGCUUUGAGGAGUCCUGCUGCAUGUCUAGGCCUAGAGAGGCCGUACUCAUCCUUGCAGGGUGGAAUCACCUCGAGGUACCCAGCGCAGGCAGACCGAGGCCCC